rnacentral:rRNA from 1 species
UACGUAGGGUGCAAGCGUUAAUCGGAAUUACUGGGCGUAAAGCGUGCGCAGGCGGUUCUAUAAGACAGAUGUGAAAUCCCCGGGCUCAACCUGGGAACUGCAUUUGUGACUGUAGAGCUGGAGUACGGUAGAGGGGGAUGGAAUUCCGCGUGUAGCAGUGAAAUGCGUAGAUAUGCGGAGGAACACCGAUGGCGAAGGCAAUCCCCUGGACCUGUACUGACGCUCAUGCACGAAAGGCGUGGGGAGCAAACAGG